AGAGCAUCUCCAGUCUGCCACCUCCUAACUGAAGAGAUGGAAAGGAGGAAGUGAAUAUAAGGCGCAUGCUUCUCUUCAGCCAGCACUUCGAGCCAGAACUGGCACAGUGAUGAGCCAGACCACACUAAGACCAGGACCUCUUUACCUAUGUGUUCCUGUUGCCCCUUCUUCCCAGCCUGAAGCUCAUGCCAGUGCUCUGGAGGCUGACCUGAGGCAGGGAGUCACUGGCCACUUGUUCUUCUUUGGGAUGUAGUCACAUUGGGGCAGUAUUGGUGUUCUAGCCAAGUCUAGAGAGAAUAGCAACCAGAUUUGCUCAGAGGGACCAACUUCAAAUUUGCAUCUGAAAGUGCCCAAGGCAAACAGCGGAGGCAGCGUUUACGCCCGGAGAGAGGCCUUGAAUGCAUCCUUGAGGGCGGUCUGUCUGAGGUCUCUGCCUUCCUGCAAGAGAAUUCUGGAUUUAGAACUAACUCUCACCCCUUCCAGAGUAUCCCCAUCAUAGAUGAAAUAUCCUAUUCAUUUGGGAAUCACAAUACAUUUUUCAUUUCCGUAAUCU